rnacentral:rRNA from 1 species
AGUCGAGAAGCUUCGGCAAUGGACGGAAGUCUGACCGAGCGACGCCGCGUGAGCGAUGAAGGCCCUAGGGUCGUAAAGCUCUGUCAGGAGGGAAUAAAUACUUACGGUUAAUACCCGUGAGGGCUGAAGGUACCUCCAGAGGAAGCGCCGGCUAACUACGUGCCAGCAGCCGCGGUAAUACGUAGGGCGCAAACGUUGUUCGGAUUCACUGGGUAUAAAGGGUUCGUAGGCGGGCUAUUAAGUCAGAGGUGAAAGCCAUCGGCUCAACCGAUGAAUUGCCUCUGAUACUGAUAGUCUUGAGUCCGUUAGGGGGUGGUGGAAUUCCUGGUGUAGCGGUGAAAUGCGUAAAUAUCAGGAGGAACACCAGUGGCGAAGGCGACCACCUGGGACGGUACUGACGCUGAGGAACGAAAGCAUGGGUAUCAAACGGGAUUAGAUACCCCGGUAGUCCAUGCUGUAAACGAUGGGCACUAGAUGUCGGAGGAGCUUACCCCUUCGGUGUCGCAGCUAACGCAUUAAGUGCCCCACCUGGGGAGUACGAUCGCAAGGUUGAAACUCAAAGGAAUUGGCGGGGGCCCGCACAAGCGGUGGAGCAUGUGGUUUAAUUCGAUGCAACGCGAAGAACCUUACCUGGGCUUGACAUGCAGGAGACAGCCGUGGAAACACGGUUUCCUUCGGGUUCCUGCACAGGUGCUGCAUGGCUGUCGUCAGCUCGUGUCGUGAAAUGUUGGGUUAAGUCCCGCAACGAGCGCAACCCUUGUCCUUAGUUGCCAUCAGGUUAUGCUGGGAACUCUAAGGAGACUGCCGGUGACAAACCGGAGGAAGGUGGGGACGACGUCAAGUCAUCAUGGCCCUUACGUCCAGGGCUACACACGUGCUACAAUGGCCGAUACAAUGAGCUGCAAUACCGCGAGGUGGAGCGAAUCUCAAAAAGUCGGUCUCAGUUCGGAUAGGAGUCUGCAACUCGACUCCUUGAAGCCGGAAUCGCUAGUAAUCGCGCAUCAGCUUGGCGCGGUGAAUACGUUCCCGGGCCUUGUACACACCGCCCGUCAAGUCACCCGAAUUGGCUGCACCCCAAGUCGCUGAGCUAACCUCUUCGGAGGAGGCAGGUGCCCAAGGUGUGGUUGGUAAGGGGGACU